UACGUCCGUAUCACGUUGAAACACCUAUUUCCCAACGAUCACCGAAGUUAAGCAACGUCGAGCCAGGCCAGUACCUAGAUUGGUGACGACUUGGGAAUAACAGGUGCUGUAAG